GAUGAACGCUGGCGGCGUGCCUAAUACAUGCAAGUCGAGCGAACGGACGAGAAGCUUGCUUCUCUGAUGUUAGCGGCGGACGGGUGAGUAACACGUGGAUAACCUACCUAUAAGACUGGGAUAACUUCGGGAAACCGGAGCUAAUACCGGAUAAUAUUUUGAACCGCAUGGUUCAAAAGUGAAAGACGGUCUUGCUGUCACUUAUAGAUGGAUCCGCGCUGCAUUAGCUAGUUGGUAAGGUAACGGCUUGCCAAGGCAACGAUGCAUAGCCGACCUGAGAGGGUGAUCGGCCACACUGGAAUUGAGACACGGUCCAGACUCCUACGGGAGGCAGCAGUAGGGAAUCUUCCGCAAUGGGCGAAAGCCUGACGGAGCAACGCCGCGUGAGUGAUGAAGGUCUUCGGAUCGUAAAACUCUGUUAUUAGGGAAGAACAUAUGUGUAAGUAACUGUGCACAUCUUGACGGUACCUAAUCAGAAAGCCACGGCUAACUACGUG
rnacentral:rRNA from 1 species